rnacentral:rRNA from 1 species
CGAGCGCCCCGCAAGGGGAGCGGCAGACGGGUGAGUAACGCGUGGGAACGUACCCUUUUCUACGGAAUAACCCAGGGAAACUUGGACUAAUACCGUAUGUGCCCUUCGGGGGAAAGAUUUAUCGGAAAAGGAUCGGCCCGCGUUGGAUUAGCUAGUUGGUGGGGUAAAGGCCUACCAAGGCGACGAUCCAUAGCUGGUCUGAGAGGAUGAUCAGCCACAUUGGGACUGAGACACGGCCCAAACUCCUACGGGAGGCAGCAGUGGGGAAUAUUGGACAAUGGGCGCAAGCCUGAUCCAGCCAUGCCGCGUGAGUGAUGAAGGCCCUAGGGUUGUAAAGCUCUUUCACCGGUGAAGAUAAUGACGGUAACCGGAGAAGAAGCCCCGGCUAACUUCGUGCCAGCAGCCGCGGUAAUACGAAGGGGGCUAGCGUUGUUCGGAUUUACUGGGCGUAAAGCGCACGUAGGCGGAUCGAUCAGUCAGGGGUGAAAUCCCAGAGCUCAACUCUGGAACUGCCUU